rnacentral:tRNA from 1 species
GUUGUCAGACUCAGUGGUAAGAGUGCUUGCCUAGCAUGCAUGAAGCACUGGGUUCAAUUCCCAGCACCA